UACGUAGGGUGCGAGCGUUGUCCGGAAUUACUGGGCGUAAAGAGCUCGUAGGUGGUUUGUCGCGUUGUUCGUGAAAACUCACAGCUCAACUGUGGGUGUGCGGGCGAUACGGGCAGACUGGAGUACUGCAGGGGAGACUGGAAUUCCUGGUGUAGCGGUGGAAUGCGCAGAUAUCAGGAGGAGCACCGGUGGCGAAGGCGGGUCUCUGGGCAUUACCUGACGCUGAGGAGCGAAAGUGUGGGGAGCGAACAGG
rnacentral:rRNA from 1 species